CGGCGGCCAUGGCCCGGGGGAAACGCCCAGUCUCCAUUCCGAACCUGGAAGCUAAGGCCCGGCACGGCGAUGGUACUGCACUCGGCAGGGUGUGGGAGAGUAGCACGCCGCCGCUCU
rnacentral:rRNA from 1 species